CCCUACAGCUUCUGGAACAGGAGCAAAAGAAAUAGGAGUGGAUAUAUGGCAACCUGUCCAGCAAAGCUGCUGCUGUAUAAACAUGAUUUAACACAGGCCCCAAAAAAGAGAGAAAUCCCUGGAUUGGUAAGGUCUGCCCAGAGAAAAAGGGAUGCUAUAUAAGCCUGAAAAGGGUUGAAUGGAAGAUUAUAUGUGAUGCUAGUGCCUUGUUAGAAGAUUUCAUCUGUGUAUAAGGCUGCUCUACCAGAACAAUUUACAGAAGAAAUAUGAUAGUACAUGGCAUUGAGCUCAUGAAGUUCUUUGGCCUCAAUAAGGCAGCAUCACCAAUGCGACAGAUAUGUUUUUAACCAAUAAAGCUUUGUGUCGUCUAUAAAUUUGAUGAGCUUGUUGUCUCCAAGUUAUAGAGACAUAUUUCAAAUAAGAAAGAGCUAAGGGCAGAACCUUAUAGUUCUCCGGCAAAAGCAAGCAAAAGCUACAACCUGUUAAGAAAUUGGAAUCUGUGAAACCACAGGAGCAGCACCUAGCGUAACCUUAGAGAUCAGGACAGACUUACUGCAGGAAGUGAUUCCUAAGCUGAGGACAAAAGGG